GUGCUUGCUUCAGAAGCAUAUAUACUAAAAUUGUAAUACAGAGAAGUUAGUAUGGCCCUGUGCAAGGAUUUAAAACAAUUUUUUUUAAGGUUUGCAAAUGUUU
ensembl:snRNA U6 U6 spliceosomal RNA